UUAAUAUGGAGAGUUUGAUCCUGGCUCAGAGUGAACGCUGGCGGCGUGCCUAAUACAUGCAAGUCGAACGGACAAGUAAGAGCUUGCUCUUAUGAGUUAGUGGCGCACGGGUGAGUAAUGUAUAGCUAAUCUGCCCUACACUAGAGGACAACAG
rnacentral:rRNA from 1 species